rnacentral:rRNA from 1 species
UACCUGCAGCUCAAGUGGUGGCCGCUAUUAUUGGGCCUAAAACGUCCGUAGCCGGUUUAGUAAAUGCCUGGGUAAAUCGUGCCGCUCAACGGUACAAAUUCUGGGUAGACUGCUAAGCUUGAGACCGGGAGAGGCUAGAGGUACUCCUGGGGUAGAGGUGAAAUUCUGUAAUCCUAGGGGGACCACCAGUGGCGAAGGCGUCUAGCUAGAACGGGUCUGACGGUGAGGGACGAAGCCCUGGGGCGCAAACCGGAUUAGAUACCCGGGUAGUCCAGGGUGUAAACGCUGCUUGCUUGAUGUUGGUUGGGCUCCGAGCCCAAUCAGUGUCGGAGAGAAGUUGUUAAGCAAGCUGCCUGGGAAGUACGAUCGCAAGAUUGAAACUUAAAGGAAUUGGCGGGGGAGCACAGCAACGGGUGGAGCGUGCGGUUU